rnacentral:rRNA from 1 species
AGUGAACGCUGGCGGCAGGCCUAACACAUGCAAGUCGAACGGCAGCGCAGCAGUAGCAAUACUGUGGGCGGCGAGUGGCGGACGGGUGAGGAAUACAUCGGAAUCUACCUUGUCGUGGGGGGAUAACGUAGGGAAACUUACGCUAAUACCGCAUACGAACUAUGGUUGAAAGCGGCGGACCGCAAGGCGUCGCGCGAUUGGAUGAGCCGAUGUCCGAUUAGCUAGUUGGCGGGGUAAAGGCCCACCAAGGCGACGAUCGGUAGCUGGUCUGAGAGGAUGAUCAGCCACACUGGAACUGAGACACGGUCCAGACUCCUACGGGAGGCAGCAGUGGGGAAUAUUGGACAAUGGGCGCAAGCCUGAUCCAGCCAUGCCGCGUGUGUGAAGAAGGCC